CCUAUGACAUGAAAGCUUUGCGGGGAGAGAUUCCUCGUCCGUAUGUGGAUUGUGUAAUGGCUAUAAGUAUGUAAAGAUGAUGAGCCAUAGCAUGUGAAGCUGGAGUUUUCACAGAGGAAAUUGCUUUUUCUGUAGCCACUUCUCUUGAGUGCUUUGUCAAAGAAUGAAACAGUGUGUUAUAUGGACUGGACCACAUGAAGGAUAUAGGUUAGCGUCUAAAUCCUUUCUUCUCCAUAUAUUAAGGUACAGUUAAAAAGAUUUUGAAGUACCAGGUAAAUUUCUUAGA